GCAGAAAGUUAUUUUUAAUCCCCUAAUGAUAUCUGAAUGAAACAGGUCCAAAUGAAGCAAAGUGAUAUCGCGGAUUCAUAUAACUGAUUACUUUACACAGAGAAUGUUAGUAGGAAACCUUGUGGAUUGUUCCAUUGCUUUUCAAAGAGUCUUACAGCAUGGACCACUAUAGCUGGUAAAUGUAGGAAGACGGUAAAUGUGCAAUUGACAAAGUCAAUAUCUCCAAAGCGAGCAUUGUACAAUAUCUCUUGGCUAUAUACCACAAGGUACCCCAUGAAAAAUGCAUGCAGAGUGUAUACCUACAUACAAGCAGUACUCAUCAUCAGGUCAGACAUAUUAUUUAUUCAUUAGACAGAAGUAACACAUCGUAUGCAUACAACUGCAUGCUUACCACUAAUAUCCAAUGAGCUAUGUGGCUGUCAAGGAUAUCUAAAGCAUAAAGACAAACGCCGUAGAUUAUUACAGCA
rnacentral:misc_RNA from 1 species